AUGAAGAUGAAAAAUGUUAUUUUCGGAAGACUGGAAAGUACAAUGAAGGUUUGGCUUUCAUACAAGGCAUUUAAAAUGCUAAAGAAUGAACAAAACUGCAGUGUCACAGAACUUCCAUGAAGACAAUAGAAGGAUGAAUAGUAAAGUGUGCUAAUCCCACCUAAAGUUAGUAGGGCCCAAAACCAAGAGAAG
rnacentral:lncRNA from 1 species